rnacentral:rRNA from 1 species
AGUGAACGCUGGCGGUAGGCCUAACACAUGCAAGUCGAACGGCAGCACAGUAAGAGCUUGCUCUUACGGGUGGCGAGUGGCGGACGGGUGAGGAAUACAUCGGAAUCUACUUUUUCGUGGGGGAUAACGUAGGGAAACUUACGCUAAUACCGCAUACGGCCUACGGGUGAAAGCAGGGGAUCUUCGGACCUUGCGCGAUUGAAUGAGCCGAUGUCGGAUUAGCUAGUUGGCGGGGUAAAGGCCCACCAAGGCGACGAUCCGUAGCUGGUCUGAGAGGAUGAUCAGCCAAAGUGGAACUGAGACACGGUCCAGCCUCCUACGGGGGGCAGCGGGGGGGAAUAUUGGAAAAUGGGCGAAAGCCUGAUCCAGCCAUACCGCGGGGGUGAAGAAGGCCUUCGGGCUGUAAAGCCCUUUUGUUGGGAAAAAAAAGCAGCAGGUUAAUACCCCGCUGUUCUGACGGUACCCAAAGAAUAAGCACCGGCUAACUUCGU